AUUCAACUUUUUUAAAGGGUCAAGAUUCAUUGUGCUUCCUCAUCUCUCUCUCUCUCUCUCGUUUUAUUUUUUUCAGAUUCUUCAUCCAAUUUUGGAAGAGUUACAGACUCACAAAUCUCAUCUUCAUCCCUCUCGUAUCUCCAAUUUUUUGAAGUCAUCGUCACUACCAAACCUCCUCCAUCGCCUCUGUCUCUCAACAUUCUUCUCCACUCAACACUACAGAUCCAUGUCUAUCAUCGUCCCAACCACCAUCACCAUAACCUCCGACGCUCCCAUCUAUAUCUCUUUCGUUCUCUGCCUCCGUCAUCGAACUCUGUCUCAACCACUUUUUUUUUAUCUAUCCUCUUAUCAAACUUCUUCUUUUCCAGAUGCAUAUUGAUAGUCUUAGUUAACAACAACCGUAUCUCAGAUUUUUUAUAUGUUCCUUUUUUUUUGUUUUGAGAUUUUUGAAUGAUUAGUCUUGUUUGACAAGAUUGUAACUUGAUUAAAUGGGGAUUUGACUUCAUGGACAGGGAAGAGGAAGUGGAAUUGAUAAUGGGGCUGGUGGUUGUUCUUGUUCCCGUAGGGUCACAACAUUAUAGGAAGAAGCCGGAUAGGAAGAAGCUGUGAUGGUGAAGAUGGAACAGAGCAAGAAGAAGAAGAAGAAGAAGAGAAAGAGGGAGAAGGAGAGAAGACAGAGACGUAAGGAAGACGGAGGAGGAGGAGGAGGAGGUGCGACAAAACAAGACGAAAGGAAGAAGGAAGCGGCGUAGAUUAGGUUUACUUUUGAUUGGUUUAUUAGGUUUGGUUUAGAUAUGUUUAGUUUAAUAAAUCAGGUUUGUGUGUAAACCAGUGUUAAUAAAUAAACCGAUUUUAAUUGUAACCAUUAUCUGUGUACAUUGAUCUUAAUUAAUAAAUAAAUUUUAUUUUUUAA